UACGAAGGCUACAAGCGUUAUCCGGAUUUAUUGGGCGUAAAGGGCGCGUAGGAGGCAAGGUGUGUUUCUGGUGAAAUUCCGAGGCUUAACUUCGGGAAGUGCUGAAAAACUACCUAGCUAGAGGACAUUAGAGGCAUAUGGAACACACGGUGUAGGGGUGACAUCCGUUGAUAUCGUGUGGAACACCAAAGGCGAAGGCAUUAUGCUGGGAUGUUCCUGACUCUGAGGCGCGAAAGCGUGGGGAGCAAAAAGG
rnacentral:rRNA from 1 species